CGUUAGCUAUUGCAGCGGCAUCCUUUUUUGGGCGGCAUUGGCCGGCAAAAAAAGAUAUAGCGGAAAGAGCGACCCGAU
rnacentral:sRNA from 1 species